AUGAGCUGUUUGAGAUGGAAUUGCCGGGGGCUUGGAAACCCCGAGGAAGUUCGAGAGCUUCGCAAUGUGGUGAAGCAAGAAGGGCCCGAGCUGGUUUUUGUUAUGGAGACAAAGAUCAGAGGCAAACGAGUGGAGGAUUUGCGGCAUACCCUAGGGUUUGCAGGCAGUUUUGUGGUGGACAGUGACGGCCUAAGCGGUGGUGUAGGGCUGUUCUGGUCUAAAGAAGUGGAUGUGGAACUUAAGUCGUAUAGUAAGAGUCGCAUAGAUGUUUUGGUCAGGGAUGGUGUACCGGGCUCAAAUGCAUGGAGGCUGACAGGGUUUUACGGAGCGCCGAGAGCAGAAGAUCGUCAUCACAGCUGGCGCUUCCUAAGAACACUGCAUGCUAUUCCCCAUGCUGCAUGGAUGUGUAUUAGUGACUUCGAUGAAACUCUAUAUCAAGACGAGCACUUCAGCCGACCAGCUCGCCCUGAGAGGCAAAUGAGAGAGUUUCAGGAAGCUACCAGCGAGUGUGCUCUCCAAGAUUUGGGGUGGACGGGUGUUGCAUACACUUGGGACAACCGCCAACCAGGGGACGCAAAUGUUAAAGCAAGGAUAGAUCGGGCCUUUGCCAAUGAGGAGUUUAGGCAGAGGUAUGAUCAUAUGUGGGUUCGACAUGUGUGUGCGGUGGAGUUUGAUCAUUGCUUCGUCGUUACGGAGUUCAGAAAUCACGCUUUCACAGAGGCCGAGCGGAGCCAAGCAGUUCCGUUAUGA
rnacentral:rRNA from 1 species